rnacentral:rRNA from 1 species
UCCGGCGGUGAAGGAUGAGCUCGCGGCCUAUCAGCUAGUUGGUGGGGUAACGGCCCACCAAGGCAUUGACGGGUAGCCGGCCUGAGAGGGUGACCGGCCACACUGGGACUGAGACACGGCCCAGACUCCUACGGGAGGCAGCAGUGGGGAAUAUUGGACAAUGGGCGAAAGCCUGAUCCAGCAACGCCGCGUGAGGGAUGACGGCCUUCGGGUUGUAAACCUCUUUCAGCAGGGACGAAGCGAAAGUGACUUUACCUGCAGAAGAAGCACCGGCCAACUACGUGCCAGCAGCCGCGGUGAUACGUAGGGUGCGAGCGUUGUCCGGAAUUAUUGGGCGUAAAGGGCUCGUAGGCGGUCCGUCACGUCGGGAGUGAAAACUCGGGGCUCAACCCCAAGCUUGCUCUCGAUACGGGCGGACUAGAGGUAGGUAGGGGAGAACGGAAUUCCUGGUGUAGCGGUGGAAUGCGCAGAUAUCAGGAGGAACACCGGUGGCGAAGGCGGUUCUCUGGGCCUUACCUGACGCUGAGGAGCGAAAGCGUGGGGAGCGAACAGGAUUAGAU